AAUGUUUCCGUAAGUAUCUGCACAACGGCUUCACUUCCUUCCCAGGCCGCAGUGCUCAAACCACAGAUGGCGUGGGCUGGGCUCAGGCUCACGUUAGGAGCACGUCUUCCUCCCUUUCUCUUCUGGUGGGUUCGUAUGGGGUUGGGGAAGUGGGUGGGAGGGAAUGUUUUGCAUUCAUUCUUUUUGAAUAUUAGUCAAAUUGGGCCGUUAAAUGGACCAUCCCAAAUUUUCAUAGGUACUUUCAAUCCUAGUUCCCGUUCUUUCUGACUAUAAUCUUUCAUCCAAACGUGACACAAAUGUGUAAUAUGUGCUUGAGAGCCAUAACUUGGUGGGCUUGCAAGAGGACAAUGGACACCCACCUUUUCCACAUCAGCUGGGCAGGAUGCAGACAGGGGUACCCUCUCCGUCUAUUUUCAGAGUCCUCAAAAUGGCAAAAAUGUGGCUAGGGUCCUAUCUGUGCAUUAAUAGACAAAAGAAGCAGAGAGAACGACUAGGGCAUUAUAUGUUAUUUUCAAAGAAGCAGUUGUUGACACAACUAGGGAAGAAAUACGAACCGAUCCUCCAGCACACAUGUAACACUGAAAAGCAGUGUUUAGACAUUAUUUAUUUUUAUUUUUAUUUUUAAUUUUAUUUUUGAGAUGGAGUGUCGCUCUGUUGCCCCAGCUGGAGUGCAGUGGCGGGAUCUCGGCUCACUGCAGCCCCUGCCUCCCAGGUUCAAGCAGUUCUCCUGCCUCGAGUAGCUGGGAUUACAGGCGUGGGCCACAGCACCCGGCCAAUUUUUGUAUUUUUAGUAGAGAUAGGGUUUCACCAUCUUGGCCAGACUGGUCUCAAACUCCUGACCUCAGGUGAUCCGCCUGCUUCGGCCUCCCAAAGUGCUGGGAUUACAGGCGUGAGCCACCCCACCCGGCCUAGACAUUGUAUUUUUAUAUCACCUUUAACAACCUCAAGAUGCUUUCGUGUGUAUUAUGGGAUUGUAUUUAUGGCCUUGUCCCUGCAUUGUGGAUGUCAAGGGCCAGUUGCCACGUGCUUAGUCAUAUACAUAAACUCAGGGAACACACACACGUAUGCUUAUGGACUCACACACACACACUUACCCACACUCACUCUAGCCACACUCACACUCAUAUAUACUCACCAGUACGCUCACACUCACACAUAUCCUUGCACACCCACACUCACACACACCAACACCCUUACCCACCCACACAUACCCUUACACACCCACACUCAAUGCUAGCCACACUCACAUAUACUCACCAAUACGCUCACACACACACACCCUUACAUACCCACACUCAUACUAGCCAUACUCACACUCAUAUAUACUCACCAAUAAGCUCACACACACCCUUACACACCCAUGCUCACACAUACCCUUACACACUCACACAUACUCUUACACGCCCACACUCACUACCCUUACACACACACACACCCUUACACACCACACUCACUCUAGCCACUCAUAUAUACUCACCAAUAAACUCACACACGCAUAGCCUUACAUACUCACACACACCCUUACACACAUUCACACACACUCAUACCCUUACACUGCCACACUCACACUACCCUUACACACCCUCUCACACACACCCUUACCCACACUCACACACAUACCUUUACACACCCACACUCGCACAUACCCUUACACACCCACACACACAUACCCUUAUACACCCACACUCACACACUCUAGCUACACCCACACUCAUAUAUAGUCACCAAUAUGCUCACACUCGCACUCACAUGCUGUCAUGCUCGCUCACACUCACACCGUUGCCCACUCACGUGCUAUCACUCUCACGGUGAAGUCUGCACCUGCCACCACUCAGGUUGCGAUGUGUGUUUCACUUUCAGCUCCUCUAAGGUUUUACUCGCCCUGGCUCCACCAAACUGGAUUUUACUAUAGUCUAUACUUAAAUAUUGUUCAUCUCUUCUUCUACACAAAAGUAUUAAGAAUUUACCUGCCUGUAAGUUAUUGGAAUAUCUUGGGCAAAAGCGAAUAAACUUUUCCUUUUCCCUUGUUCGACACCCCCUCGUCAGUGACCCCCACGACACGACCCCACCACCCUAUCUGGCUUGGCAUGUGAUGCUUCGGGAAGGGCACGGGGUUCACAUGGCUCCUGUUACCCUCUAAGCCUCAGAAAACAUUGGCACAGGCAGAGAGGAGAGCUGUCAUCUGAGUCUCUCUGUGGGAUCCUGGGCUCUUAGGGAAAGGCCGGACAGGGAGGGGUGGGAGAGAUUUCUGUGGCCUCCAAGAUUCCUGGGAAGGCGAAGUCUGGAUUUCCUUGGAGAGGAAGGAGGGUGUAGGCCAGCCACAUAAUUAGGGUGCAGUAGACAAACAGAAAUCAUUUCUUUUGGUCCCUCAUCUGCCUCAAGGCUGCGUUUGCUCCACGUGGCCGCACAGGCAUUUGCGUCUGUGCCCUUUGGGACUGGCAGAGAUGGAGGAGGAAGCCUUAAGCACCGUCUCUCCUGAUUAGCGCUCCACACGGCUCCUCUCCACAGCCCCCCCCCACCCACAAUGUCCCACUACUCAGACACGUGGGCCGUGGGUACAGAGGGAAAGGGACCUUGGGAAGAAUAGGGAGCCAAGCCACUCUUCACCCUCCCAGGUCACCCAUAGCGGGUCACAUGGGGACACGGUGGCCACUCACCCCCUGCCACUGAGUCCCACAGUACAGCUGCGCCUGUGGUCAGAUGCCACAGGGACACCAUAGCACCCGUCUAUUGUGUCAUUUCCUUGCUGCAUGAGGACCGAUGAUGUCCCCAGAGGCUCACUGGCUUCCCACAGCACAGAGGGACCUGGCACCGCUACCCCAAGAUGGUAUUGUCAAAACUAAACUACCUCCAUUUUUAUUUUUAAAAGUAUGAUGUCAAUGCAUAAAAUAAAAAUUGCUUUCUGUCAGAUGCUUCUUUAUUCAAGCCCCUAAAGAAAUGUUUUCUUGCCUAAGACAGCUCAUAUUAAAAUGUCUAAAGCCCAAAAGAAGUCUAAUAAAUUUCAGCUUUAUGACUUUGUUUACUCUGGGUGUAGGAAAAGAAGUCUUUUUUAUGUAGCCUAGUUUCCAGAACUUCAGGGUCAAAAGUUAACAAAUUUGGGGAAAACAGAAGAGAAAAGAUAGCAUACAGUAUUCUGUUUUCCUAUUAAAAUGAGGAAAACAAAGGAGUCAUCAGAACUAUAAUUUAUGGGAAAGUGUGCAGACAUCCAUCUGCUUUUAUUGAAAAAAUACACUGCAGAUGUUGGGCCUAAUUAUGAAUCCUCCAUUUUCUUGGUGAAAAACUUUAGUGGCAUCUCAAUCUCUGAUCAGUAAACUGGGUGUCGUAGCACUUACAAAAUAGAAUUAUUUCAUUGAUCUUUAGCCAUCUAUUUUUUUUUUGUAGAUGAGAGAGCAUUCAGCAUGAAGGCUGUUUCUAUCUGAAUACUAAAUGUUGGUUUCAUUCCCACAGGUUCACAGCAAACAGGAUUCCUAAAUGCCCUUAAGGACAGUCCUGCAAGUGUCCUGGAGGCUGUGGUGUGCUUCUUCUCUGUCUGGUCCAUCGUUGGCCUCUCAGGAUUCCACACCUACUUGAUCAGCUCCAACCAGACGACAAAUGAGGACGAUUAUCUGCCUGUACUUAAUACAGAUGGAGAGGAAGUAAGAAAAUAGGAAACAAGGCCGGGCGCGGUGGCUCACGCCUAUAAUCCCAGCACUUUGGGAGGCCGAGGCAGGCGGAUCACGAGAUUAAAGGAUCCUGGUCAAAUAAAAGAGGUAAAGAAAAUUACAAUCCCUACAGCUACGGAAAUAUCUUUACCAACUGCUGUGUUGCCCUGUGUGGGCCCAUCUCACCAAGCCUAAUUGACAGAAGAGGGUACAUCCAGCCCGACACGCCGCAGCCAGCAGCACCCUCCAAUGGCAUCACCAUGUACGGGGCCACGCAGUCACAGAGUGACAUGUGCGACCAAGACCAGUGCAUUCAGAGCACCAAAUUCGUUUUGCAGGCCGCGGCCACGCCCCUGCUGCAGAGCGAGCCCAGCCUCACCAGCGAUGAGCUGCACCUGCCCGGGAAGCCCGGCCUGGGCACGCCCUGCGCCAGCCUCACACUGGGCCCGCCCACACCUCCCGCCUCCAUGCCCAACCUCGCCGAGGCCACGCUCGCGGACGUGAUGCCCCGGAAAGAUGAGCACAUGGGCCACCAGUUCCUGACGCCCGAUGAGGCGCCCUCGCCCCCCAGGCUGCUGGCGGCGGGCAGCCCCCUGGCGCACAGCCGCACCAUGCACGUGCUGGGCCUGGCCAGCCAGGACUCCCUGCACGAGGACUCCGUGCGCGGCCUGGUGAAGCUCAGCUCCGUGUGACCCACGUGGCCCCGGGCCGGGGGGCACCAGAGGCUCCUCCACGGGCAGCGGGAGUGAGCAGAGGGGUGUGCCCCACAGUGACUUUCCCAGCCAGUGCCAUGGUGGAGAUGACAGCCCCAGGUCUGGGGUACAGAGACCAAUUAGGAUGGCACAGGGCGGCCGGCCCCGGAUGCUGAGAGCUUGGUUUCAUUUGAAUUUUCUUCCCCAACCUGAGUGCUUUGACAACAACGGAAAUAGAGAAGUGGCUGCUUUCUUUUGGUGACCCUCCAGGGGUGGAAUCGGAGUGUGUCUGCCCGCCCUUGUGACAGACACACGGAAGGCUUCUGACGCUUGUGGCCAGACUGCAAUUGCACUUACGUGUUAUGCUACUAAUAUUUGAAACAGACCUGCAAUUCCAUUUGUUAAUUUAAAAAAAAAAAAAAAAUCCUAAAGGGAAAAAAACGACCAGGUGUGGAUCUGCAUGCCACGCUGCCAUCUGUGUUACAGUGGUGUUGCUCUUUCCAAGGAAGUGCUGCUUUCUUUUUCUUUCUUUUUUAAUUUUGUGAAUUUUUAAGUGCUGUUUUAUUGGAAGACAGUGCAACGAACCGAGACUAAUGGACAGUGUCAUCACUCAGCUUACUGGGCUGAGGCGUCUGUGGAGAGGUGGCACCGGGGCUGCAGAGGGCGGCUGGGGUUCCGUCGUGUCGGGUGUCGCUUCACCUUCUGUUUGGCCACUCAAUGAGGUCACGUGUUGAGGUAUUGUGUGCCGCAACCCCCACAGUCUUCACCUCCGUGUGUGAUGAAACUUCCCGUGGACAGCCAAUAAAAUGACGUCCUCUGUU
rnacentral:sRNA from 1 species